AAACAGCCGCCCGGCCGGCCAAGAAGCCGAGUCGCGCACACGUCUGCCGCCGCCCGGCCGCCCCCGCGCGUCCGUCCGCCCCCAAAGCCCAAACAGCCAAGAUUUGCCAAGUCAUUGGCCCCAAUUCCUUUCCCCUCCCCUGCGAACCAAAGCCUCGGCGACCAUCGGACCAUGGCCGCCUCCUCCCUCUGACCCCGCCGCCCGCCUCGAUCCAUGAGACUUCCCGAUCUUGCUGCGGCCCGAGGAUGUCCCAGCGCGACGUCGACUACAGGCAUCUGAGCAUGCUACACAUGGGCUUGCUGACGUGAUGGUGUGAAACAGAGCAUUUGUGUUGUCGCGGAGGUGCUGCUUGUAACCGACUAAAAACGGGUCCAGUUGCGAUGUAGAUGUUGUCCAUUGUCGGGUUACAGUUAGCAAAUGGAAAUUUUUCAUGUAAUAGUAAAGGGAGAUUUCCAUGAGUUUUGCAUCGGUGUCACAUGUUUUCGUUUAAAUGCUUACCAAUAGCUCCAUUUGUGUAGUUGUUUGCAUAAUUGAUUCAAAAAUUCUAUAUUGGUUGAAGUCUUCACAGUU